rnacentral:rRNA from 1 species
AGAUUGAACGCUGGCGGCAUGCCUUACACAUGCAAGUCGAACGGUAGAGUAGCAAUACUUGAGAGUGGCGAACGGGUGAGUAAUAUAUCGGAACGUGCCCAGUCGUGGGGGAUAACGUAGAGAAAUUUACGCUAAUACCGCAUACGAUCUAAGGAUGAAAGCGGGGGAUUCGCAAGAACCUCGCGCGAUUGGAGCGGCUGAUAUCAGAUUAGGUUGUUGGUGAGGUAAAAGCUCACCAAGCCGACGAUCUGUAGCUGGUUUGAGAGAACGACCAGCCACACUGGGACUGAGACACGGCCCAGACUCCUACGGGAGGCAGCAGUGGGGAAUUUUGGACAAUGGGCGAAAGCCUGAUCCAGCAAUGCCGCGUGCAGGAUGAAGGCCUUCGGGUUGUAAACUGCUUUUGUACGGAACGAAACGGUGAGCUCUAAUACAGUUUGCUAAUGACGGUACCGUAAGAAUAAGCACCGGCUAACUACGUG